rnacentral:lncRNA from 10 species
CAAGAGGGCGGUGUGACUAGCAAAUGAAGCGUAGAAGACCCAUCAGCAGUGGAGGUUGCUGGGGACAACGGCUGAUGAAGCCUUCUCACGGUGCAGGGUACUUGUCUCUCCCAAACCAACCAAGGCUGCAUUAACCUUUCCUGAAAAUAAAAAACAGUUCUGCUUUUACCAUUUGGGGGCCUGAGGCAAGUGUUCAAAUAGAAGCCCUCCUGCCAGUCUAUUAAAUGAAGCUACUAAACUAUUAAAUAGAAUAUGUCUGCUCCUCUCACCUUCCUCUCUGCUCAGUAGUAUGUCUCUUACCACCUGGAGGCUGGGUCUACUUACUGCCUUUCCUGCCACAAGACCUUGUCUUGUGCCCAGAGGGCCUCAGGCACGUGCGUGUGGACACCACAUUCCCAUCCACUAGAAUGGCAAACAUUACAAAGACUGUUUAAAGUGUUGUCAAGGACGUGAAGCAAUUGAAACCCUUAGACACUGCCGGUGGGGAUGCAAAAUGGCACAGUCGCUUUGGAAAACAGUAUGGCAAUUUCUAAUGAGGUCCCACAUGCAGCUA